CUGGCGGCAGGCCUAACACAUGCAAGUCGAGCGCACUCUUCGGAGUGAGCGGCGGACGGGUUAGUAACGCGUGGGAACAUACCCUUUUCUACGGAAUAGCCUCGGGAAACUGAGAGUAAUACCGUAUACGCCCUUUUGGGGAAAGAUUUAUCGGUGAAGGAUUGGCCCGCGUUUGAUUAGAUAGUUGGUGGGGUAAUGGCCUACCAAGUCUACGAUCAAUAGCUGGUUUGAGAGGAUGAUCAGCAACACUGGGACUGAGACACGGCCCAGACUCCUACGGGAGGCAGCAGUGGGGAAUCUUAGACAAUGGGCGCAAGCCUGAUCUAGCCAUGCCGCGUGAGUGACGAAGGCCUUAGGGUCGUAAAGCUCUUUCGCCAGGGAUGAUAAUGACAGUACCUGGUAAAGAAACCCCGGCUAACUCCGUGCCAGCAGCCGCGGUAAUACGGAGGGGGUUAGCGUUGUUCGGAAUUACUGGGCGUAAAGCGUACGUAGGCGGAUUGGAAAGUAUGGGGUGAAAUCCCAGGGCUCAACCCUGGAACUGCCCUGUAAACUAUCAGUCUAGAGUUCGAGAGAGGUGAGUGGAAUUCCAAGUGUAGAGGUGAAAUUCGUAGAUAUUUGGAGGAACACCAGUGGCGAAGGCGGCUCACUGGCUCGAUACUGACGCUGAGGUACGAAAGUGUGGGGAGCAAACAGGAUUAGAUACCCUGGUAGUCCACACCGUAAACGAUGAAUGCCAGACGUCGGGGGGCUUUGCCCUUCGGUGUCACACCUAACGGAUUAAGCAU
rnacentral:rRNA from 1 species